rnacentral:rRNA from 1 species
ACCCGCUGAACUUAAGCAUAUCACUAAGUGGAGGAAAAGAAAACAACCGUGAUUUCCCCAGUAACUGCGAGUGAAGCGGAAACAGCCCAGCGCUGAACCGGCCCUGCUAGCAAAAGUGGAGGCUGGCAUGUAGCGUCGACCGGCCCUGUGUCCUAGUAGUUGGCCAGCGGCAGAGUGCUAAACGAGAGAGCCACCAGAGCGGGUGCUAGUCCCAUUCGACGCUGGUCAAACCGUGUUAGAAGUGUUAGAAGCGGAGAUGGGCCGGUCCUGGCAGAGUCGAGUUGCUUGGGAGUGCAGCUUGAAGCGGGUGGUAGACUCCACCCAAGGCUAAAUAGCGGCAGGAAGCCGAUAGCGAACAAGUACUGUGAAGGAAAGUUGAAAAGGCGUCUGAGAAGACGGUCAAAAGUCCGUGAAACCGCUAGCGGGGAAGCUGAGGGCGGAGUUUCAGCACCUUUUAAUUUGGCUUGGACCGGGAUUUCGCCGGUCAAAGUCUUUUGGAGGGUGAGUCCGGACCGUCGACUGCCCGCUUGUCCGCUUUUUGGGACUUGAGAUGCAGAGCGGUCUGUGGCCGCUUGAAUUUUCAAAAUUUAAAAAAAAUGGGUUACAAGUGAGGGGCGGUUGACGUUGUCAAGGGAAAAGUCUUGAGCCAGAAUUUUGCGGUCCUCGAGUUUUUUGGGCGCGGAGCAGUCUGCUGCCUGAGAGAAAGUACGGGAGUCGUGUAAAUUGGAAGCGAGACAGAACCGGACCAACUCUGCUCUCCGACCCGUCUUGAAACACGGACCAAGGAGGCUGAGGCCGGGGCGAGUUGACUGGUGGAAAACCAGGCAGCGGAGCAAACGCGGGAGUGCCACCUUUUAUCGAGACUAGUUUUAAAACUAGAUACUGGGGCAGCACUGGCCCCUAGUGCAGAAAAACUAGAGAGCCGGAGCCCCGGCCGCAGGACCCGAAAGAUGGUGAACUAUGCUUGGCCAGGAUGAAGCCAGAGGAAACUCUGGUGGAGGUCCGAACAAGUUUUGACGUGCAAAUCAUAUUUGGCGAGCUGAGUAUAGGGGCGAUAGACUAAUCGAGCCGUCUAGUAGCUGGUUCCCUUCGAAAUUUCCCUCAGGAUCGCUGGGGCCCACUUAAAAUUUUGGAGAAGCAGCUGCAUCGGGUAGAGCGAAUGAUUAGAGGUACUGGGAGCAGCGGCGCUCUCGGCCUAUUCUCAAACUGCCAACUGGUGCGGAGAAACGCUGGAGCUGGCAAUUUUGUUGCUUGAGUGAAUGUUUUUGGCGAGUGCGGGCCCCAAGUGGGCCACUUUUGGUAAGCAGAACUGGCGAUGCGGGAUGAACCGAGAGCUGAGCUAAGGUGCCCAAGGGCGCACUGAGAGAGACCAUGAAAGGAGUCGGUCGAUCGAGACAGCAGGGCGAUGGCCCUGAAGGUAGGAAUUCGCCAAGGAGUGUCUAACAACUCACCUGCCGAAUCGACCGGCCCUGAAAAUGGAUGGCGCUCAAGUGUGCGACCGAGGCUCGGCCGCUUCUACUGAAUUGGCGGAGGAGCGGGUAGAAGGGCGCCUCGGUGGCGGAGAAGGCCUAGUGCGAGUGUGGCUGGAGCGGCCGAGGGUGCAGAUCUUGGUGGUAGUAGCAGAUUUGAACCGGUUUGUGCUCAGGGCCGAAGCGGAGAAGGGUUCCAGGUCGACAGGGUUUGUGCCUGGGUGAGUCGGUCCUGACUUGAUCUUAGCGUGGGCUUGAGUGGGCCGAGUUUUUCAACUUUGAUUUUUUGUUGGAGCGGAAAAAGUACGGUCGAAAGUGAAAGGGAAACAGGCCAAGAUUCCUGUACCGGGGCGUCGCUGCAGUGUUUCACUUUUUCACAUUUUCAAUUUUUUAAUUGGAGAUGCGGCGGCGAAACGCUGGAGAUGGCAAACAUAACGAAACCAGACACCCGCCCUUACGCGCUGAGAGAGUUUUCGUCUCUGGAUAACGGGCAGCGGGCCUCGGAAGGGAGUUGUUCCGCGAUGAGGCCGCGGGCCCGGAAGAAGGCCGCAGUAGUGGCUUGAGCGCUGCGAGGGAGGGCCGUGAAACUCUGGUGGAGCUGAAUUUUUGCAGGCGACGCCCGUCCGUACCGAAACCGCAGCAGGUCUCCAAGGUGAGCAGCCUCUGGUCCCUGGAAAAACGCGGGUAAGGGAAGUCGGCAAACUGGAUCCGUAACUUUGGGAGAAGGAUUGGCUCUGGGGUUUUUUCUAAGUUUUUUAUAGCGGAGAAUUUUCGCAGUAGAGCGAAUUUUCUUGCGAAGACUUGUUUUACUGCGGAAAAAAGACGCUCUAAACAGCUUUGAAAAAUGAAACGACCCGGAACUGGCACCAACCCAGGGAAUCCGACUGUCUAAUUAAAACAAAGCUUUGCGAGGGCCGGUAACGGCGUUGACGCAAAGUGAUUUCUGCCCAGUGCUCUUUCAGUCAAACUGCAGAGAUGCAACCAAGCCCGAGUUAAUGGCCGGGGUAACUAUGACUCUGUUAAGCUAGCCAAAUGCCUCGUCAUCUAAUUAGUGACGUGCAUGAAUGGACCAACGAGAUUCCCGCUGUCCCUACCCUCGCUCCAGCGAAACCACAGCCAAGGGAACGGGCUUGGCUGAAACAGCGGGGAAAGAAGACCCUGUUGAGCUUGACUCUAGUUUGGGCAGCGCGGCGACCUGGGGGGCGUAGGAUAGGUGGGAGCGAAAACUUUUACCAGUUAAAAGGUUCUGCGGCAGUGAAAUACCACCACUCUCAUUGUCUCCGCGCUCAGUGGCCGGGCGAUCCCAGCCCUUUGUUAAAGAAGGGCCGGUGCCAGAAUUACUACCAACUUUUAAAAGUGGGUACGGAUCCGCCACGAAACACUCAGAUGGGGAGUUUGACUGGGGCGGUACAUUCUCAAAAGGGCAACGAGAGUGUCCCAAGGCGGGCUCAUGGCGGACGGAAACCACCAGUAGAGCGAAAGGGCAAAAGCCCGCUUGAUUCCAACUUUCAGUACUAGUGGGAAUCGAGAAAUCGUGGCCUAUCGAUCCUUUGCAGUGAAAUUAAUGUGUGAAUAGCCUGCGAGUCUCAGGGCAGGGGUGUCAGAAAAGUUACCACAGGGAUAACUGGCUUGUGGCAGCCAAGCGUUCAUAGCGACGUUGCUUUUUGAUCCUUCGAUGUCGGCUCUUCCUAGCAUUGGGUAGCAGCAUGCCCAAAGUGUUGGAUUGUUCACCCACCAACAGGGAACGUGAGCUGGGUUUAGAC